rnacentral:rRNA from 1 species
CCUACGAGAGGCAGCAGUGAUGAAUAUUGGUCAAUGGGCGCGAGCCUGAACCAGCCAAGUAGCGUGAAGGAUUACUGCCCUACGGGUUGUAAACUUCUUUUAUAAAGGAAUAAAGUGAGGCACGUGUGCCUUUUUGUAUUUACUUUAUGAAUAAGGAUCGGCUAACUCCUUUCCAACAGCCGCGGUAAUACGGAGGAUCCGAGCGUUCUCCGGCUUUCUUGGGUUUAAAGGGAGCGUAGAUGGGUUGUUAAGUCAGUUGUGAAAGUUUUCGGCUCAACUGUAAAAUUGCAAUUGAUACUGGCAGCCGUGAGUACAGUUGAGGUAGGCGGAAUUCGUGGUGUAGCGGUGAAAUGCUUAGAUAUCACGAAGAACUCCGAUUGAGAAGGCAGCUUACUAAACUGCCACUGACAUUGAUGCUCGAAAGUGUGGGUAUCAAACAGGAUUAGAUACCCUAGUAGUC